rnacentral:rRNA from 1 species
AUUGAACGCUGGCGGAAUGCUUUACACAUGCAAGUCGAACGAUGAGACCUAGCUUGCUAGGUUGAUUAGUGGCGAACGGAUGAGUAAAGUAUCGGCACGUAUCCAAUAAUGGGGGUUAACUAACCGAACGGUUAGCUAAUACCGCAUACGCCCGACGGGGGAAGGCAGGGGAUCUUCGGACCUUGAGUUAAUGGAUCGGCCAAUAUCUGAUUGGCUAGUUGGUGAGGUAAAGGCUCACCAAGGCGACGAUCAGUAGCUGGUCUGAGAGGACGACCAGCCACACUGGAACUGAGACACGGUCCAGACUCCUACGGGAGGCGGCAGUGGGGAAUUUUGGACAAUGGGCGAAAGCCUGAUCCAGCCAUUCCGCGUGAGUGAAGAAGGCCUUCGGGUUGUAAAGCUCUUUCGCAAAGGAAGAAAACUUACUUUCUAAUAAAGAGUGAGGUUGACGGUACCUUGAUAAGAAGCACCGGCUAACUACGUGCCAGCCGCCGCAGUAA